GUCUCACCUCGCCAAGCAGCCCAAGUCCCCAGAGGACAUGGGACCACACCACUUAACCCACACCCCUCCUCUCUUCCUCUCAAGUCCCUCCCAAUCUCUACUUCCUUUGAUUAUAUUGUUCCCCCUUCUAAGUAGGACUGAAGCAUCGACUCUGUGGUCUUCCUUUCUCUUGAGCUUCAUGUGAUCGGAAUUGCACCCACACCAGUUGUCGAUACUUGUGGAGGUCCAUGCCUGCUGGCCCUGUCCCAGGUCCAUGCCUGCUGGCCCUGUCCCAGAGGCUGGAACCAUGUCAUUCGGUCCCUAUGAAGGGAAUGCCAGACAUGGCAGACAUAUACAUGUGAGUACGUCAUGUAGUGUAUGAUUGAGGGUGGAUAUACAUACAUAUGUGAGUACUUGUAUGUGAUAUGU
rnacentral:lncRNA from 1 species